rnacentral:rRNA from 1 species
CCUACGGGAGGCAGCAGUGAGGAAUAUUGGUCAAUGGGCGCGAGCCUGAACCAGCCAAGUCGCGUGAGGGAAGACGGUCCUAUGGAUUGUAAACCUCUUUUGUCGGGGAGCAAAAGACGCCACGCGUCGCGUUCCGAGAGUACCCGAAGAAAAAGCAUCGGCUAACUCCGUGCCAGCAGCCGCGGUAAUACGGAGGAUGCGAGCGUUAUCCGGAUUUAUUGGGUUUAAAGGGUGCGCAGGCGGAAGGUCAAGUCAGCGGUAAAAUUGAGAGGCUCAACCUCUUCGAGCCGUUGAAACUGGUUGUCUUGAGUGAGUGAGAAGUAUGCGGAAUGCGUGGUGUAGCGGUGAAAUGCAUAGAUAUCACGCAGAACUCCGAUUGCGAAGGCAGCAUACCGGCGCUCAACUGACGCUCAUGCACGAAAGUGUGGGUAUCGAACAGGAUUAGAUACCCCGGUAGUC